GACCUCGUAGCAUAAUCGUAAAUGCGUCUGGACUCUAUAUCUAUUGCGCAGUUGAGGAAGGAAACUCGAUUUACCAGAAUGUCCCUGUUCGACUCGGGGCGAGGUCA